rnacentral:tRNA from 1 species
GGGUCUAUAGCUCAGUGGUAGAGCAUUUGAUUGCUGAUCAAGAGGUUCCCGGUUCAAAUCCAGGUGCCCCCU